UCUGGUUGAUCCUGCCAGUAGUCAUAUGCUUGUCUCAAAGAUUAAGCCAUGCAUGUCUAAGUAUAAAUAGUAUACAGUGAAACUGCGAAUGGCUCAUUAAAACAGUUAUAGUUUAUUUGAUAAUUGACAAUUACAUGGUUAACCGUGGUAAUUCUAGAGCUAAUACAUGCUUAAACGCCCGACUUUAUGGAAGGGUGGUAUUUAUUAGACUGAAGCCAAUAUUCCUUGUGUCUAUUGCGGUGAUUCAUAAUAACUGAUCGAAUCUCUUUUUGAGAUAAAUCAUUCAAGUUUCUGCCCUAUCAGCUUUCGAUGGUAGUGUAUUGGACUACCAUGGCAGUAACGGGUAACGAAGAAUUAGGGUUCGAUUUCGGAGAGGGAGCAUGAGAAACGGCUACCACAUCUAAGGAAGGCAGCAGGCGCGUAAAUUACCCAAUCCUGACUCAGGGAGGUAGUGACAAGAAAUAGCAAACCGGGAACCUCAUGGUUUCACGGUAUUGCAAUGAGAACAAUUUAAAACCCUUAGCGAGAAUCAAGUGGAGGACAAGUCUGGUGCCAGCACCCGCGGUAAUUCCAGCUCCACUAGCGUAUAUUAAAGUUGUUGCAGUUAAAAAGCUCGUAGUUGAACCUCUGUCUGGGGCUAGUUUUGGCUUUGGUCAGGCUAGUUCUAGGCAUCCGCCUACAAGACUUAGAGGGCAUUCAGUUGUUCACUAGGAGGACUAGGCAUUUUACUUUGAAAAAAUUAGAGCGUUUAAGGCAGGCAAUCGCCCGCAUAUAUUAGCAUGGAAUAAUAGAAUAGGACACUUUUCCAUUUCGUUGGUUAUUGGAAUCGUGUAAUGAUUAAUAGGGACAGUUGUGGGCAUUUGUAUUUAAUUGUCAGAGGUGAAACUCUUGGAUUUAUUAAAGACAAACUAACGCGAAAGCAUUUGCCAAGGAUGUUUUCAUUAAUCAAGAACGAAAGUUAGGGGAUCAAAGACGAUCAGAUACCGUCCUAGUCUUAACUAUAAACUAUUCCGACUCAAUGUUUGACUGGCUUAUAUAACCAGUUGAGCGUUGUAUGAGAAAUCAAAGUCUUUAGGUUCUGGGGGGAGUAUGGUUGCAAAGCUGAAACUUAAAGGAAUUGACGGAAGAGCACAACCAGGAGUGGAUUCUGCGGCUUAAUUUGACUCAACACGGGGAAACUUACCAGGUUAAAACAAUAGUGGGAUUGACAGUUUGAGAGCGCUUUCUUGAUUGGUUGGGUGGUGGUGCAUGGCCGUUCUUAGUUGGUGGAGUGAUUUGUCUGCUUAAUUGCGUUAACGAACGAGACUUUAACCUGCUUACUAGACUGGCG
rnacentral:rRNA from 1 species